rnacentral:rRNA from 1 species
GUGGGGAAUAUUGGACAAUGGGCGCAAGCCUGAUCCAGCCAUGCCGCGUGAGUGAUGAAGGCCCUAGGGUUGUAAAGCUCUUUCAGUGGGGACGAUAAUGACGGUACCCACAGAAGAAGCCCCGGCUAACUUCGUGCCAGCAGCCGCGGUAAUACGAAGGGGGCUAGCGCUGUUCGGAUUUACUGGGCGUAAAGCGCACGUAGGCGGAUCGUUAAGUCGAGGGUGAAAUCCUGGAGCUCAACUCCAGAACUGCCUUCGAUACUGGCGAUCUUGAGUCCGGAAGAGGUGAGUGGAACUCCUAGUGUAGAGGUGGAAUUCGUAGAUAUUAGGAAGAACACCAGUGGCGAAGGCGGCUCACUGGUCCGGUACUGACGCUGAGGUGCGAAAGCGUGGGGAGCAAACAGGAUUAGAUACCCCUGUAGUCC